CCAGACCAGGCUGGUUUCUGGGGUUUGUGCUCCUCCCUCCAAACAUACUGUUCUGUCCACUGGAGGAUGGUCACAUGAGGCUGCUUCAGUGUCCAUGCAGGAAACACAAAGCAUGAAAUUUCCGAUUCUUCCCACUCAGGCCCCAGAUCACCAUAUGUGACCCAUCACCCCAUCUCUGAGCAUGAGGGCACACUGAGGUGCUGGGCCCUGUACUUCUACCCUGUGAACAUCACCCUGACCUGGCAGCGAGAUGGGGAGGACCUGACCCAGGAAACGGAGCUGGUGAACAACAGGCCGGGGAAGGGGGAAUGGAAACUUCCAGAAGUGGGCAGCUGUGAUUAGAAGAUUCUUUCAGGUUUCUGACCUGACUCCUCCCUGGUCUCACAUGAUGCUUCUUCCCACAGGAGGACAAGGAGGAAGCUAUACUCAGGCUGCAGGCAGCCACAGUCCCAGGGCUCUGAAUUGUAUCGCAGCCCCUAAAGUGUGAGACAGCCUUGUGUUGGCCUGAGUAUUACAGGAUUUCUUUUUGCCCACAUUUUGUGCCUUUAUGAUCUCCUGGUUUAAACCUUCACACCUGUGAGUAUGGCCCAUAUCCAAAAGACCAGAAAGGCAAGUGCUGGCAAGGACGUGGAAAAAAGGGGACAGUCCUGCAUUGUUUUUGGAUAUAGACGGAGCCAGCCCUUAUGGAAACAGUAUUGAGGUUUCUUAAGAGAGUAAAUGUGGUUCUGCCAUUGGGCCCAGCAAUUCUACUCUGAGGAUCUCCUCACAGAGGAUAAAUAUUCUCCUGUGAAGGGACCUGCACUCCCGUCACCACUGCAGCUCUAUUGACAGUAGCCAAGCUAUGGGAACCACCUGAAUGCCCCAGACAGGUCCAAUGCUUUUUCAGUUCUGCUCAGAAGCUUCUUCUCCAUGGAACUGUAUUUACUGAGGUGUUGUUCUGACACUCUUUACUCUGUGUGCGAUUUGAAUUUAUUUAUUUUGGCGCUUGAUAUAUGAUUCUCCCUUGUUUUCUUAUGUUGUGUCUCCCUUAUUUCCUGUUACACACACACACACACACUCUCCCCUCUCCUUGGGAACCAGACCCUCACUCAGCACUGGGGUUACUCUGACCCUCUGUCUCUGGUCCCUUCAGAGUCACCCUCUCUGCGGUUUCUCUACUCAGCAGUGUCUGAGCAGCCCCAGGAGUCCCUGCACCUCCUGCCUCUGACCUUGUGGGAAACCAGCCCCUCAGCCUGCAUGGCAGUGAGGAGGUGAAGGCAAAGUCCUGCGGGUCAGCACCAAUGUGCUAUCCAUAGAAAAGAGAGGUUCCAGGUUACUGCCCCGCCCAAGGAAAGGUAAAGCUGAGCAGGGAUGAGAAGCUAAGGAAGAGGAGGAAGAUGUGGAGUAAGAUGAGGAAAAGAGACUGUAGGAGGCACAUGGAGCAGAGAGACAUGUGACGAAGAAGCCACUCUUGCUCCUCAGGCUUGGACUUGUGCCAGGAAGUUGAAGACAUGGAAAGAGACAUGUGAAAGAGACAAAGAUGUGGGUGAGAGGCCCAUGGGGAGGCUGACAAUGGCAGCUGUUAUCUUGAUGUGGAUUUUGAUUUUGCUCGUAUCCUUCCAGACUUGCCUGGCCCCUCCUGCCCCUGUCCCAUGGGUCUCUACCAGUAGGUGCCUUAGCCUUGUGGCAGGCGUUCGGGCCCCAGUGGGACUGCUUUGGGCCAAGCCUGUUUGGCUGGGCAUUGACCCAUGAGGGGACGGGUAACUUUGGGUGCUUCACUUGGAAACUAUUCUGAUUAUAUUCUUGCUCUUCUCUCUAUUGCACACUGAUUCUCUAUUUUAUACUAACUGUAUUAAAGUUCUUUUCUAUUGAAGGUCUUACACUUUAGAUUAUGUUUUGUCUUUAUGCAGCUGAUGGCAGAUCCCAUGUAGAGCGUGCAGUCCUGAUGGUCCAGG